CGGUGUACGGGCUGCACUUUAGUCCACACCACAAACGGUUUCCACACCACAGAUACCUCUGGCCGGGCCCUCACGUACUUCAAGUUUUGCCGCGACCACCACGUCACUAAGAUCGGUCUGCGAGAACUUUGACCAAAGAAGAAAUCAUAGGAAUAGUAUGGGCACAUAGUGAGAGGGUGGUCACAACAGCCUACAGACCAAUCUACAUGAGCUGAGGGAAUGUGUGGACGACUGCCCUCUGACAGUUUAGCAGGCGUAGAUUCGCUGACAGCACAGACAUGCUGUAUGUCACUUUUGCCAGCGAUGAAGACACCAAUGAGGAUGCAGAAGACCUUGGAGGCCCCAGACGAGAAUUCUU